rnacentral:lncRNA from 1 species
CAGUCCCACCCCACUCCCUCCUUUCCUCAUCCUGCAGGGUCAAGAGGGGCUGAGCAACAUCAGAAUCACUUCAUCCUUUGAGUGACAACCGAAUCCAACCUUGCCAGCCAGUGCACAGAGGAGGAGACUGAGACCUGGAAAAGGUGCGGGAGAGGCCAUCGAUUUCAACACCACCAGGGGCUCAGGACAGAGGGAGACGCCCAGGGUCCAGUUCAGAAGCCGUGUUGUACCUCAGCGCUCAGGCUGAUGUUGGCCACUUCUCUGACCACCGAUCUGCCACCGCCCUGUCUGCCACAGAGGGCAGCGAGCAGGGCAGGCUCUCCAACUGAGGUCAGGGGCUUUCUGUGGUGGGUCCCCUGGAGAUGCACACGUAAGGCCUCUAGUGCAGUUUCCGAGGUUUCAACCUUGCAUGUAACAGGAAGAGUCUCCAAGGUGACCGCCAGUCGUGAUCCCUCCUCCUGGUAUCAUGCCUUGUUCUGUCCUUUCCUAUUCUGUGCAGGGUUGGUCAGUAUGACCCAAUCGGGGAACUGAAGGCGUGUCACUUCUGAGAUUUGUUUAUAAAACAAAUCUUGGACCCUCACAGAUGGUGGGAUAAUAGAUGUUUCUUGCCUUCACCGUGAAGUGCUGGGGUCCUUUGUUACACAGUGAGAGGUAACUAUUGCACUGACUCAAGCAGAAGAGGAACCAGGGGAAGGGUUCUGAAAGGCUGGAGAGGCAGGUGCUGGGGGCACCCAGCCAAGAUCAUACCUGAGAACGGGGUAUGAGAGGACACUGCUCCCAGCUCUGACCAGCAGGCCCCCCAGCACCCAGCCCUGCUCCAUGACCCCCAACUCUGUGGGACCAACCUCCAUCAAUGCCCCUGAGGGUUCACUGCCAGGCGCGCACUCCCCAGGAAGGACUUGCCCUGGCCACUCUUCCCAGGGUCUUUGCCUCCCCUCCCCCGCCCAGGACCUCAUCUUGUCUCCCACAGGCCAUGGCUCCUUAGGGAGGACCGUCCAGUUCCCUGCUAUGCCCCACCGGAGGGACUAAUAGGGAUAUUUUUUCCGGCAGGGAAAGGGUAGCCAGGGAAGGGUAGGAGAUGGUGGUUUACGCCUCCCGGGGAGCUGGCAGGAGAGAGGUGGGAUGAUUGUCAGCAAAGCAAAAAAAUAGCCACUAUGAACUGGCCCCAGGGCAUUUUGAUCUUAGCCAUUGCUGACAGCUGGGUGAGCAACCACUUGGUCCUAAGCCAGUCCCUCCUUCCUUCCAAGAGAGGGAUCCCUCAGCUGUUGGGCAAGUGGACAAGACCAGAGCGGAACCAUGCCUGGCUUAACGCGAGGCCACUGGAAUCCAGGUCCCCUCAACAACUCUUUUAAAUGUGGAUUUAUUUGAAGGAUUUAUUUCUUGCCAUUAAAAGGGGGGACGUCAUUAAUAAAAGGCAGCAAAACCAAGGCUGAGCCAGUAGGAUUAGAAGCGGGACAGCAGGAAUGAGAAGGAAGCAACUGCCAAAGUUGUUGGAAACCAGGGUGGAAUUUGGCUCUGAGCUUCCUGGCAGCCCGUGCAAAGAGGGAAGCCUGAUCAGCUACAGAGCUCCUCUUAUUAGCAAGAAAGAUGCUUGCCGCUUUCUCUGGGGAGACGUAGUUUAUUUCAGUUUUAGUGUUUUUCC